UCAUGUUUCUGUAUCAUUUUGAUCUCUGUUGUUCACAUGAAGACACUUGAUCUAAUGGAUAUCUUUGUAUUUCUCUGAUCUAGAUGCUGCUGUCACAAAUGAAGCAAGGACAGAAUCAUUGAUGAAGGAAAAGACUGAUUCCAGAAGAAACCGAGUGAAUGAAUCAGUGACUGUAGAGAUGGAGAAGAAACCGCUGUUGAAUAGAGAUGAUCUGAAUGUUGUGAAUGAGGAGGAGAGGACGAGUUCACUUUAAGAACAUAAGACCCGCCCACAAGUGUCAAUCACUCUGACAUCAUCAACAUUCAGCUCCAGCUUCAACACAAACAUGUUUCUGUUUUUAUGAUCCUCUAGAAUCCGUCCAGUGAAAGUCAGAUAUAAAACUGUGUUGAGCUGGUAAACUUGCAUGUGAAGAGCUUCUUUAGUUUUAGAUGAACCAAGAAACAUGUUUGUCAUUUUAAUAUUACACUUCAUUCUUUUACUCUAUUUAGCCUGAUACUAGUUUGACUCACAGCUUUGAUUUUGUGUGAUUGUAGACAGUGAGUUUAUUCUGUUUUAAAUAAUAAACACAGUGAGUGUCAGAAAGUGUCAUUUGUUUUUUUAUAAGAUAUUUUUACCACAGCAGUAUCUCUUAUCAUUUUAUUUUCUGUUUUUAUAUGAUAAACACCAGUUCCAGAUUAAUGUUCAUGUUCAGCGUUGAUUACAGUCUGUUUCCAAAGCUGAGAUCACAAAAUCUUCUUGUUCUUCAUGU